rnacentral:rRNA from 1 species
CCUACGGGCGGCAGCAGUGGGGAAUAUUGCACAAUGGGGGAAACCCUGAUGCAGCGACGCCGCGUGAGUGAAGAAGUAUUUCGGUACGUAAAGCUCUAUCAGCAGGGAAGAAAAUGACGGUACCUGACUAAGAAGCCCCGGCUAACUACGUGGCAGCAGCCGCGGUAAUACGUAGGGGGCAAGCGUUAUCCGGAUUUACUGGGUGUAAAGGGAGCGUAGGCGGCAGCGCAAGUCUGGAGUGAAAUCCCAUGGCUUAACCAUGGAACUGCUUUGGAAACUGUGCAGCUAGAGUGCAGGAGAGGUAAGCGGAAUUCCUAGUGUAGCGGUGAAAUGCGUAGAUAUUAGGAGGAACACCAGUGGCGAAGGCGGCUUACUGGACUGUAACUGACGUUGAGGCUCGAAAGCGUGGGGAGCAAACAGGAUUAGAUACCCGAGUAGUC